GACGAACGCUGGCGGCGCGCUUAACACAUGCAAGUCGGACGGAAAGGCCUGCUUUCCCUUGUGGAUUGCGGGUACUCGAGUGGCGAACGGGUGAGUAACACGUGAGUGAUCUGCCCCCAACUUGGGUAUAAGCCUGGGAAACUGGGUCUAAUUCCCGAUAGGACUGCAGGGUGGUGCCUGUGGUGGAAAACGAUUUUCUAGUGGUUGGGGAUGAGCUCGCGGCCUAUCAGCUUGUUGGUGGGGUAAUGGCCUACCAAGGCGGCGACGGGUAGCCGGCCUGGGAGGGUGGACGGCCACAUUGGGACUGAGAUACGGCCCAGACUCCUACGGGAGGCAGCAGUGGGGAAUAUUGCACAAUGGGCGGAAGCCUGAUGCAGCGACGCCGCGUGGGGGAUGACGGCCUUCGGGUUGUAAACUCCUUUCGACCGCGAGGAAGCCACCUGGUUGGAAGGGUGGUGACGGUAGUGGUAGAAGAAGCACCGGCUAACUACGUG
rnacentral:rRNA from 1 species